CAGAUGUUGACCAAUGAAAGCCCCGAGCACGGCAGGUGCACCGAACAAACCAAUCACUAACCACGGACUUGAAACAUAGGGAAUGGGUGAAGAUGAUACGAGGGGAAGAACAAAAGCAACAAAUACAGAGAAGCCAAUAGCGCACAUCCACAUGAGCACGAGACUCAAGGAUGAUAAGGCCAAGGAAACCAUGGCAGAACGUCCACCCAUAAUUACUGAUGUCGUCCAUAUUAGAAGUGCCUGCACUAUCACUGUAUUGUAGAGCAAACUCGCAAAAUACUGUCGGAAUACGACCAUGUAUGUUCCCAAAAUGUCGAAAUAUAUAGCAGUAUCCUGGCCAGACUUUCCACUGGAAUUUGUCCCCUUGCCUUUGGGCAAAUUUGUAGAAGUUCCAGCCUUAAGCAGAAAAGCAAGCAUAUUUUCUCCAAGAUGUUGAAGAGAACCAGGCUUUAAAAGCUUUAAUUUGUCAUUCUUUG
rnacentral:misc_RNA from 1 species